AACGAACGCUGGCGGCAUGCCUAACACAUGCAAGUCGAACGAGACCUUCGGGUCUAGUGGCGCACGGGUGCGUAACACGUGGGAAUUUGCCUCGGGGUAUGGAAUAACUCAGGGAAACUUGAGCUAAUACCAUAUAAUGUCUUCGGACCAAAGAUUUAUCGCCCUGAGAUAAGCCCGCGUAGGAUUAGCUAGUUGGUGGGGUAAAGGCUCACCAAGGCGACGAUCCUUAGCUGGUCUGAGAGGAUGAUCAGCCACACUGGGACUGAGACACGGCCCAGACUCCUACGGGAGGCAGCAGUGGGGAAUAUUGGACAAUGGGCGGAAAGCCUGAUCCAGCAAUGCCGCGUGAGUGAUGAAGGCCUUAGGGUUGUAAAGCUCUUUACCCGAGAUGAUAAUGACAGUAUCGGGAGAAUAAGCUCCGGCUAACUCCGUGCCAGCAGCCGCGGUAAAG
rnacentral:rRNA from 1 species